GCUAUAAAUUAUUUAAAAUUUAAGCUUUUAACAUUGGUAUUUUGUUUAAUUUUUCAAAAUCGUCUUCUCAAAAACCACGGUCUUGCGCCGUGUUUUUCCUCUCACCACGCUCUCCGAAAAACACGCAGCAAGACCGUUGUUGGCGAUUUUUGAAAGUUGCCCAAGCAGGGAGUUAAACUCCGGUCGUACCCGUAGACGCUUCUAUAGAUGAGAUGCCGGCGUUUGAAUUCAACGUUUGUUUUUAAUUUUGAAAUAAUUGUACUCGUGCCUUAUAACCAUCUUUACAGAGACUCCUGCGAACUGUUCUGGGACUGGCAAUGACAGACGUGGACUCAUUCCAUUCUCGAUCAAGUGUAACUUUAAUCUAAUAUAUCUAAAGGGGAAUUGAAGCAACAAACCUAUCGUGUUCAAAACAGUAAGAUGUGAAACACUAGAAAUCUUAAUAUAAAAACAUAUCGUCAAGGCGCCAUGGAAAUGAAACUAUGAAAAAUUAAUGACAUUACUCACAGCUAAUAAGUCCAAUGAACAAAACAGCCGGCGAAGAAAACCAUAUGUUUGUGACACCUGCAAUCGCUCGUUUACUCAGAAGACACAUUUAAAAAGGCAUUUAUUGACUCACACGAAGGAGGGACAGUAUGCCUGUAAUAUUUGUUCUAAGACAUUUUCUCAACGGAACACUGUAUGGUAUCAUUAAAUGACGCAUACGAAAGAGAAACCAUAUUCCUGAGAGUUGUGCAAUAAAGCAUUUUCCCAGUUGAUAAGUUUAAAGAAUCAUUUAUUGAUGCAAACGAA